rnacentral:rRNA from 1 species
GAGUUUGAUCCUGGCUCAGAACGAACGCUGGCGGCGUGCCUAACACAUGCAAGUCGAGCGUGAUCCAGAGCUUGCUCUGGUGAAAGUGGCGCACGGGUGAGUAACGCGUGGAUAACCUACCCUGGUAUCCGGGAUAACAUUCCGAAAGGGGUGCUAAUACCGGAUAAGCCCACGGGCUCUUUGGAGCUUGCGGGAAAAGGUGGCCUCUAUUUAUAAGCUACUGUAUCAGGAUGGGUCCGCGUACCAUUAGCUAGUUGGCGGUGUAACGGACCACCAAGGCGACGAUGGUUAGCUGGUCUGAGAGGAUGAUCAGCCACACUGGAACUGAGACACGGUCCAGACUCCUACGGGAGGCAGCAGUGGGGAAUUUUGCGCAAUGGGGGAAACCCUGACGCAGCAACGCCGCGUGAGUGAUGAAGGCCCUUGGGUCGUAAAGCUCUGUCAGAGGGGAAGAAAUGAUAUAGUGCUAAUACCACUUUAUCUUGACGGUACCCUCAAAGGAAGCACCGGCUAACUCCGUGCCAGCAGCCGCGGUAAUAC